rnacentral:lncRNA from 1 species
GUUGUUAGAUUUCAGACUCACCUGCCCCACACCCCAAGCAGCAGGCGUAACCCAAGUGUCCAGGGAACCCUCUCCCAUUGGCCCCUACCCGAGAGCUGUUCCUACCUGUGUCAUCUUCAUCGUGGACGCUGCCACACAGACUCACAGUGCUCCACGCUGCAGAAACACAGACAUGAGGAACCAAGGUGUUAGAAUCUGUCCCCCACUCAUGUCGCCUACCGAAGGUUGUUUGGGGCCUCACAGCACUGCCCUGGUCUGGCCUCCGUGUGCUCAGAACUUCCCUGGGCUCUAUGGCCUCAACGUGUCUCUGCAACCAAAGGAGCAGGAGGGCCCCCCCUCCCUUCCUCAACACCUGGACUUCUCCUCAGCGGAGCAGGGUUCCAGAAUACUCACAGCUUUCACCGUCCGUCCCGUCCACCUGCAAUGACAGAAAAGAAAACACGGUGAGCGUCACAGCAUCCUCUGCACGGUGGCCGCAGGUCUUCCUGCUGUUGGGGACCACAGGCAGGCACACAGAAGGCAGAGUUGAGUCGGUUUCCCCAAAAGAAGACAGCGAAGACACCUUUGGAAAAGGCGCGAACUUCCCACGGAAGACCUCCCCAGGCCAUGUUCCUUCAAAAAACAUUCCGGCCUCUUCAAAGAAAAAUGCUCCCUACUGUACCCUUGGGAACGGAUGCGCUCCCUUUUGCAAAUGCCCCUUGGAAGGAGCUAGUUGCUGGUACCAAACGUUGAUGCCACAUUCCUCCGCAGAGGAAUCUGCAUGCCUCAUAAACAAUGGACUUCCUCAGAUUUUCAUUUCUCAGGUAGGAAUAUCAAAAAAGAAAGGAGGCGACUUUUCCAAUCUCACAUCAAGAAAGGUGAGCUUACCUUGGGGGCAGAUUCAUCUUCCUGCUCAGCCCCAGCCCUGGCUGGGGACGUCUUGUCAUUGUCACUGCCUGGGCCCGCCUCCUCCUCUGCCUCGCCAACGGCUGCGGCCUCCUCUGCCCCCUUCUCAGGGGCCGGGCCCGCCUCCUCCUCCUUGGUCACAGCCUGGGCCUCCUCCUCGGUCUUCUCACUCCCACCGGCCUCCACAACAUCGUCGUGCGUUGCUAGGGGGACACACACUCACUGUCAGCAGGGCGGUGGUGCUGCU